rnacentral:rRNA from 1 species
GACGAACGCUGGCGGCGUGCCUAAUACAUGCAAGUAGAACGCACAGUUUAUACCGUAGCUUGCUACACCAUAAACUGUGAGUUGCGAACGGGUGAGUAACGCGUAGGUAACCUGCCUGGUAGCGGGGGAUAACUAUUGGAAACGAUAGCUAAUACCGCAUAAUAUUAAUUAUUGCAUGAUAAUUGAUUGAAAGAUGCAACUGCAUCACUACCAGAUGGACCUGCGUUGUAUUAGCUAGUAGGUGAGGUAACGGCUCACCUAGGCGACGAUACAUAGCCGACCUGAGAGGGUGAUCGGCCACACUGGGACUGAGACACGGCCCAGACUCCUACGGGAGGCAGCAGUAGGGAAUCUUCGGCAAUGGACGAAAGUCUGACCGAGCAACGCCGCGUGAGUGAAGAAGGUUUUCGGAUCGUAAAGCUCUGUUGUAAGAGAAGAACGGGUGUGAGAGUGGAAAGUUCACA